GCUAUGCUACCGCUUUUGGAUGGCCCCGCGGCGCAUUAGCUAGUUGGUGGGGUAAAGGCUUACCAAGGCAAUGAUGCGUAGCCGAACUGAGAGGUUGAUCGGCCACAUUGGGACUGAGACACGGCCCAAACUCCUACGGGAGGCAGCAGUAGGGAAUCUUCCACAAUGGGCGAAAGCCUGAUGGAGCAACGCCGCGUGGGUGAAGAAGGUCUUCGGAUCGUAAAACCCUGUUGUUAGAGAAGAAAGUGCGUGAGAGUAACUGUUCACGUUUCGACGGUAUCUAACCAGAAAGCCACGGCUAACUACGUGCCAGCAGCCGCGGUAAUACGUAGGUGGCAAGCGUUAUCCGGAUUUAUUGGGCGUAAAGGGAACGCAGGCGGUCUUUUAAGUCUGAUGUGAAAGCCUUCGGCUUAACCGGAGUAGUGCAUUGGAAACUGGGAGACUUGAGUGCAGAAGAGGAGAGUGGAACUCCAUGUGUAGCGGUGAAAUGCGUAGAUAUAUGGAAGAACACCAGUGGCGAAAGCGGCUCUCUGGUCUGUAACUGACGCUGAGGUUCGAAAGCGUGGGUAGCAAACAGGAUUAGAUACCCUGGUAGUCCACGCCGUAAACGAUGAAUGCUAAGUGUUGGAGGGUUUCCGCCCUUCA
rnacentral:rRNA from 1 species